AACGUAGGACACGAGCGUUAUCCGGAUUUACUGGGCGUAAAGGGCUGGCAGGCGGCUUUGCAAGUUGGACGUGAAAGCUCUCGGCUUAACCGGGAGAGGCCGUUCGAGACUGCAAGGCUAGAGGGCAGUAGAGGGGCGUGGAAUUCCGGGUGGAGUGGUGAAAUGCGUAGAGAUCCGGAGGAACCUCAGAGGCGAAAGCGGCGCUCUGGGCUGCAUCUGACGCUGAACAGCGAAAGCUAGGGUAGCGAACGGG
rnacentral:rRNA from 1 species